rnacentral:rRNA from 1 species
GAUGAACGCUGGCGGCGUGCCUAAUACAUGCAAGUCGAGCGAACGGACGAGAAGCUUGCUUCUCUGAUGUUAGCGGCGGACGGGUGAGUAACACGUGGAUAACCUACCUAUAAGACUGGGAUAACUUCGGGAAACCGGAGCUAAUACCGGAUAAUAUUUUGAACCGCAUGGCUCAAAAGUGAAAGACGGUCUUGCUGUCACUUAUAGAUGGAUCCGCGCUGCAUUAGCUAGUUGGUAAGGUAACGGCUUACCAAGGCAACGAUGCAUAGCCGACCUGAGAGGGUGAUCGGCCACACUGGAACUGAGACACGGUCCAGACUCCUACGGGAGGCAGCAGUAGGGAAUCUUCCGCAAUGGGCGAAAGCCUGACGGAGCAACGCCGCGUGAGUGAUGAAGGUCUUCGGAUCGUAAAACUCUGUUAUUAGGGAAGAACAUAUGUGUAAGUAACUGUGCGCAUCUUGACGGUACCUAAUCAGAAAGCCACGGCUAACUACGUG